rnacentral:rRNA from 1 species
GACGAACCGUGCGAACGUUGCUCGGAAUCACUGGGCGUAAAGGGUGCGUAGGCGGGUCUUUUAAGUCAGGGGUGAAAUCCUGGAGCUCAACUCCAGAACUGCCUUUGAUACUGGGAGUCUCGAGUUCCGGGAGAGGUGAGUGGAACUGCGAGUGUAGAGGUGAAAUUCGUAGAUAUUCGCAAGAACACCAGUGGCGAAGGCGGAGCUCACUGGCCCGGU